rnacentral:rRNA from 1 species
AGAAUGAACGCUGGCGGCGUGCUUAACACAUGCAAGUCGAAUGGAAUCCAAGGAGCUUGCUCUGGAAGAUUUAGUGGCGAACGGGUGAGUAUCACGUGAGCAACCUGCCCCGAAGACUGGGAUAACACCGGGAAACCGGUGCUAAUACCGGAUACCUUCCAAUGACCGCAUGGUCGAUGGAAGAAAUGUUUUUCGCUUCGGGAGGGGCUCGCGGUCCAUCAGCUUGUUGGCGGGUAACGGCCCACCAAGGCUUCGACGGAUAGCUGGUCUGAGAGGACGAUCAGCCACACUGGAACUGAGACACGGUCCAGACUCCUACGGGAGGCAGCAGUGGGGAAUCUUGCGCAAUGGACGAAAGUCUGACGCAGCAACGCCGCGUGAGGGACGAAGGUUUUCUGAAUUGUAAACCUCUUUCGACAGGGACGAUAAUGACGGUACCUGUAGAAGAAGCACCGGCCAACUAUGUGCCAGCAGCCGCGGU